UACGGAGGGUGCAAGCGUUGUCCGGAUUUCUUGGGUUUAAAGGGUGCGUAGGCGGCUAAUUAAGUCAGCGGUGAAAUUCCACAGCUUAACUGUGAGAACUGCCAUUGAUACUGGUUGGCUUGAGUACAGAUGAGGUAGGCGGAAUUGACAGUGUAGCGGUGAAAUGCUUAGAUAUUGUCAAGAACACCUAUUGCGAAGGCAGCUUACUAAACUGUAACUGACGCUGAGGCACGAAAGCGUGGGGAUCAAACAGG
rnacentral:rRNA from 1 species